UUGUGGUUUAACCUGCCCAAUGUAAUUAUUAUGAAUGGCCGCGGUACUCUGACCGUGCUAAGGUAGCGUAAUCAGUUGGCUUUUAAAUGGAGUCAGGUAUGAAUGGGAUAACCGGGUCUAGCUGUCUCGAGAGAAAUAAAUUGAAUUUACUGUUCAAGUGAAAAAGCUUGAAAUAGAUAAAGGGACGAGAAGACCCUUAGAAUUUUUUUUAAGGUAAAAAUUUUUUACUAUGAUUUUGUUGGGGCGACAGAGAAAUAAUUAGAACUUUCUUUUAACUAUUAGACGGAUUUUUCAGGUUAGAAUAAAUUACCUAAGGGAUAACAGCAUAAUUCUAUAAAUGAGUUUGUGACCUCGAUGUUGGACUAGGAAGCUGGUGGGUUAGCUGCUCAUCGUGCUGAUUCUGUUCGAAUUUUAACUCCU
rnacentral:rRNA from 1 species